CAAAAGACUGCGCUAUCCUCGCAAAAAGAAGAAAACACUGCGGGGCUCCAUCGACCUUCCGAGUCGCCGUCAUCGGUUCCAGAGGUUCCGGAAGUCGUAGCGUCGCUAGAAAAUUGUGCGAACGAUUUCAGCUAGUACAUGUUGACUUUGAAAAGGUACUACAACAAACGCGACUCCAGAAUUCACCGUUGGGAAAAAAUCUGAGGAUGAUCGAGCACACUUGGGGUGAUAGACUAAAUCCUGAAACAAGGGCACAAGUGGUUGAGAAAUAUAUUCUGGGAUAUGAAUGCACGAAGCGUGGCUGGGUUCUAACAGGCUACCCCACAACUGAGAAGGACUUUCGGCUGCUUGACAUGAUGGCUACGCCGCCGAAUAG
rnacentral:misc_RNA from 1 species